rnacentral:lncRNA from 1 species
UUUAGGUCUUUCAGCCUUUUAGUAGAUAGCUCCCUGAUACCGUGGGAAUUAGGGAGUUAUCUACUAAACGGCUGCAAGAUGCAGCCACAGCAAUGAAUAGGAUCGGAGUUUCAUUCAUUAGAAUGAAAUUCCGAUCCGAAUAAAAUGCCGAAUUGCGUUCUAAAAGAAACGAACAGACUGUUCUCAUUCAGUUAGAACGCAAUUCGGCAGUUUUGUGGAAAGUGACAGGAAGCAUUGUGGGAACACUGAGGAAAGCUAGGGAUC